UUGCUCAGAAAAAGUCUGAAUUGUGAUGGAUAGAUAUUUUUCACUCUAUCCUCAGGCAUGGAGACCUACUGUACUGUAAUGCUACACUGGAUGGAGCCCAGUGUUACGGAUUUGUGUGAGGAACUGUCCUUCCCUUAAAGACACGACAGCCAUUACAGAAUUACCCACCAAACCAGGACCAAGCAGCGGAGGAGGAAGGAGCAACAGGAGAACAGCUUGAUGGACUCAUGGACAUGGGAACAGAUACUGGACGGAGGGGACCAUGGACUCAGGCUGGGGAGUAUCGCCUCCCGCAGUGGGAGAUUGAAGCGGCGAGAGCGGAGAGGCGAUAUUAUGAGGAGAGAGAGCGCAACAAGCACGAGAGGCAGCCCCAAUCAUUUUUUUGGGGGGGGGGCACACAGGACAGUCGGCGGAGCCGAGGUCGGAACCAGAGCCAGUCGGGUUGACAUUGGAGGUGAGCGAGGGGAACGAGGCAGAGACUGUGAAGGAGUUAAUGGGGAGAUUAAAGGAGAGAGAGAUGAGAGAGCUGCUAGUUUGGUGCAUAAGGCACGGUAUCCGCCCUACGGAGCGUGUCGUUGAAAUGAUGUCACCUGAGGCAGCUCUCCAUACUCGUCCUGAGGUGCGUGCUGGUUGUCUGGUGAGGACUGUGCCUGCGCCCAGAAACAGGCCUCCUGCAUGUCUUCCCAGCCCUGCACGUCCUGUGCCUACGCCCAGAACCAGGCCUCCUGCAUGUCUUCCCAUCCUGGUCAAGCCCGUGCCUCCUCCACGGACCAGUCCUCCAGUGGGUCUCCCUAUCCUGGUCAAGCCCGUGCCUCCUCCACGGACCAGUCCUCCAGUGGGUGUCCCCAUCCUGGUCAAGUCCGUGCCUCCUCCUCGGACCAGUCCUCCAGUGGGUCUCCCCAUCCUGGUUCGUCCUGUGCCUCCUCCAAGGACCAGUCCUCCGGUGGAUCCCUCCACCCUGGUCUCUCCUGUGCCGCCUCCUCAGACCGGGCCUCCAGCUGGUCUCCCCAGCCUGAUGAGUCCAGGGCCUGCGCACAGAGCCAGGCCUCCAUGUCUCCCCAGCCUGGCCGGAGUGGCCGGCCGUGCCGGAUCUGCCGGAGUGGCCCGCCGUGCCGAAUCGACGCCAAGGGUGCAGCAAAGGCCACGUCCCGCACCUGAUCCACCUCCAGGUUAGGUGGGUUGGGGAGGGGGGGUGUAGCACAG
rnacentral:lncRNA from 1 species